ACGUCUCAGUUCGGAUUGCAGGCUGCAACUCGCCUGCAUGAAGUCGGAAUUGCUAGUAAUCGCAGAUCAGCAUGCUGCGGUGAAUACGUUCCCGGGCCUUGUACACACCGCCCGUCACACCAUGGGAGUCGGUAACACCCGAAGUCGGUAGCCUAACCGUAAGGAGGGCGCCGCCGAAGGUGGGAUUGAUGACUGGGGUGAAGUCGUAACAAGGUAAC
rnacentral:rRNA from 1 species